rnacentral:rRNA from 1 species
GAGAUAGCUGGUUCUCCCCGAAAGCUAUUUAGGUAGCGCCUCGUGAAUUCAUCUCCGGGGGUAGAGCACUGUUUCGGCAAGGGGGUCAUCCCGACUUACCAACCCGAUGCAAACUGCGAAUACCGGAGAAUGUUAUCACGGGAGACACACGGCGGGUGCUAACGUCCGUCGUGAAGAGGGAAACAACCCAGACCGCCAGCUAAGGUCCCAAAGUCAUGGUUAAGUGGGAAACGAUGUGGGAAGGCCCAGACAGCCAGGAUGUUGGCUUAGAAGCAGCCAUCAUUUAAAGAAAGCGUAAUAGCUCACUGGUCGAGUCGGCCUGCGCGGAAGAUGUAACGGGGCUAAACCAUGCACCGAAGCUGCGGCAGCGACACUAUGUGUUGUUGGGUAGGGGAGCGUUCUGUAAGCCUGUGAAGGUGUGCUGUGAGGCAUGCUGGAGGUAUCAGAAGUGCGAAUGCUGACAUAAGUAACGAUAAAGCGGGUGAAAAGCCCGCUCGCCGGAAGACCAAGGGUUCCUGUCCAACGUUAAUCGGGGCAGGGUGAGUCGACCCCUAAGGCGAGGCCGAAAGGCGUAGUCGAUGGGAAACAGGUUAAUAUUCCUGUACUUGGUGUUACUGCGAAGGGGGGACGGAGAAGGCUAUGUUGGCCGGGCGACGGUUGUCCCGGUUUAAGCGUGUAGGCUGGUUUUCCAGGCAAAUCCGGAAAAUCAAGGCUGAGGCGUGAUGACGAGGCACUACGGUGCUGAAGCAACAAAUGCCCUGCUUCCAGGAAAAGCCUCUAAGCAUCAGGUAACAUCAAAUCGUACCCCAAACCGACACAGGUGGUCAGGUAGAGAAUACCAAGGCGCUUGAGAGAACUCGGGUGAAGGAACUAGGCAAAAUGGUGCCGUAACUUCGGGAGAAGGCACGCUGAUAUGUAGGUGAAGUCCCUCGCGGAUGGAGCUGAAAUCAGUCGAAGAUACCAGCUGGCUGCAACUGUUUAUUAAAAACACAGCACUGUGCAAACACGAAAGUGGACGUAUACGGUGUGACGCCUGCCCGGUGC